rnacentral:rRNA from 1 species
AUUGAACGCUGGCGGCAUGCCUUACACAUGCAAGUCGAACGGUAACAGGUCUUCGGAUGCUGACGAGUGGCGAACGGGUGAGUAAUACAUCGGAACGUGCCCGAUCGUGGGGGAUAACGCAGCGAAAGCUGUGCUAAUACCGCAUACGAUCUACGGAUGAAAGCGGGGGAUCGCAAGACCUCGCGCGGACGGAGCGGCCGAGGGCAGAAUAGGUAGUUGGUGGGAGAAAAGCUUACCAAGACGAGGAUCUGUAGCUGGUCUGAGAGGACGACCAGCCACACUGUGACUGAGACACAGCCCAGACUCCUACGGGAGGCAGCAGUGGGGAAUUUUGGACAAUGGGCGCAAGCCUGAUCCAGCCAUGCCGCGUGCAGGAUGAAGGCCUUCGGGUUGUAAACUGCUUUUGUACGGAACGAAAAAGCUCUCUCUAAUACAGGGGGUGAAUGACGGUACCGUAAGAAUAAGCACCGGCUAACUACGUGCCAGCCGCCGCGGUAACAC